rnacentral:rRNA from 1 species
UACGAAGGGGGCUAGCGUUGUUCGGAAUUACUGGGCGUAAAGCGCGUGUAGGCGGGUCCUUAAGUCAGGGGUGAAAUGCCAAGGCUCAACCUUGGAACUGCCUUUGAUACUGGAGACCUUGAGUCCGGGAGAGGUGAGUGGAAUUGCGAGUGUAGAGGUGAAAUUCGUAGAUAUUCGCAAGAACACCAGUGGCGAAGGCGGCUCACUGGCCCGGUACUGACGCUGAGGUGCGAAAGCGUGGGGAGCAAACAGG